AAAAUUAGUACACAGACAUGAAUUUUGCAAUAUAUUGGAUAUUAUGCAAAAGCAAUCUACAAAUUUGUAGUAAACCUUUACAAACUUUCUUUAAUUGCAGGCUGAGCUGAACGCUGAAUACUAAAAAGUGAGCCUCAACACUUCUGUUGAGUUGAAGAGCAAGUUUUGUGUGUCGGUUUUUUUCUUUUCUACAUCUUUGGUUAUAAACUAACUUGUGCGUGUUUGUGGUUUUCUAGGUUUGUGCUGACCAGAUCAGAAAAAGCAGCACACACACAAGAUUUCACAGAUGCUGCAUGACAUUUUAAAAGUUUGAUCUUCAGAAACGAGCCCUUCGUGCUCUCCCAGUGUACGUGUGUGAGGAGAACUGCACUUUAAGACAUGAAAUGAAGAAUUGGGCGAGCCAUACAACGCUGACACAAACAUCUUUCUUGCUAAGUUUGUCAUCACGUACAACGUAACCACUACGAGUCCUACAAGCACUGAAGUUGUGAUGAGAUGAUCUUCCAGUGUGUUUGACAUUCAGAGAUACACAGUCACAAGGUUUAAAAAAAACAUGCUGAAUAAAAAAAUCCUCAAUUGUAUAGCCAAAGUUGUGUAUGUGUGUUUUUUUUAAUGCAUAAGUGUAUUUUUUAAAUUUAUUUAAUAAAUGACCACUGCAUCAAAAUAAUUACAUUACAGUUGCUUAACCAA